CAGCUGUCGUCCUCAAGGACAUAAAUUAUUUGGGGUACAAGUAAACAGAUAGAUUAUAGUACUAUGUGAUAGCUUUGUUGUUUAUUUUGGCUUUACUGCAAGAUUGCAAAUCCCUUUGCAAAUCAGAAUGCUAUCCUAUUUCUCUGUACUCAAGUGCACGAGGUAGUGUUGGGCAUAAAGCAGAUGUUCAAUAAGCACACGUUACUAUUCAUUUCUGUUCAAUUUUAAAAUCACUUAUCGAGUGCCUGCUUCCUGGAACAGAGAGGGUACUGCUAGGUACGUAAUAGCUAUCGCAGUGAUUAUAUGCUGUCUCAAUGAAGAUUUGGGCUAACUGAUACACUAGCUUAAAAGUUUCACCUUCAUCCAAUCAAUUCACAUUUUCCUAAGUGGUUAUGCUACUUCAUUCCAUAAAAACACAGUUUUGCUUUUCCUAAAAUCUGAUUUACAUUUUCUCCUCCGGCAAACUGGGGAGCCUCGGCGUGCGCUUGCACGCAUGCGCACACGCCAGCGCCUGGCGAAGCGCCCCCGCCCGCGAGCACCUCCAGCCACCCGCAUCCGUUGCACGGCCGUUGGGUAGUGGCGAGCCGGCACCAUGUCCGCCGCGGGAGUGGCGUUGUUGUUGUCCUGCCUGAGCUGUUGCGGCUCGGCCCUGUGGAGGUAUUACAGUAACAGCCCAAACUACGACGUUUUUAGUACCAGAAGUACUAUUAAGUUAGAGUAUGAAGGAACAUUAUUUUCUGAGUGGAGUGCUCCAGCAGCUUGUUCUAUAAAAAAUAAAAGAUUACCCAAGACAGAACUACGAUGUUCUUCUCCUGGUAUUUAUGCUAUAAAACCAAUUGUUUCAGGCCCGAAAUUUUGUUCACAAUUUAACCCAGGUAAAACUUUUUUUUAAAGUUUCUGUAUACUUCUUCACAUAUUACCACUAUAUUAUUUCUCUCUUCAUAUUUACCAGACAAGGAAUUUUCAAAACUAAUUCUCAACAUAAUUUACUUAGAGCAGAGGUUACUCAAGGUAUGGACUAAGAUCCCCUAGGUCUUCACAAGCCUUUUGAGGAGGUCCGCGAGAUCUACACUUUUCCAACUAUAUAUCUGUCUGAAUAGAUUUCCCCCCAUAUACUUCCACCAGAAUACCAUAUACCAACAGCUCGAACGUAGAAGAACUGAUGAUAAUCCAGCUGUCUCUUAUUAAGCCAAAUAUUAAAGAGAUUUCACAAUGUAAAACAGCCAUUCUUCUUACUAUUCUUUAUCUUGGAAAAUAAUUAUUUUUUCCAUAAACAUGUUGCCAUUUCCUACUCCAGGGGAUCUUCCUGAUUCAGGGAUCAAACCCAUAUCUGCUGUGUCUUCUGCACUGGCAGGUGGGUUCUUAACCACUAAGCCACAGAGGAAGUCCCCAUAAACAUGUUAAUUAAUAUUAAUAUAUAAUGGGUUUGUUGUAGAU
rnacentral:lncRNA from 1 species